UUUAAGAUGUUAUUUAAGACAGUUUAUUUUUCAAGAAUUGGAAUUCUUCUUAAGUUUUUUCUUAAGAACAUACUUAAGGAAAAAAAUAAGAACUUUCUUAAGAAGCUUUUUUGAGAAUCAAAAUAUUCGUAACUUUUUUCUUAAGCUUGAAUUUAACCCCCUGGGGUCCAAAAACGCGGGGCUGCGUUUUGACGCAUUUUUUCCUGUUUCCUGUGACAUCCACUUAAAAUACUCCGUCAUUCAUAAUCAUACACAUACAUGUAAUACGUCAUUAGAAACUGUGAAGUGUCUACAUUAAUGUGAGUGCCUUCAUAAUAACAACAAAACCGUGUGCUUUUGGCAAAUAAAGAAAAUAAACAGGGAGUGCAUUUCGACAUCUCUGUCUCCUUGACCAUCUUCCUCAAACACGUUACAAACAUGAACUGAUAACUCCGCCAAUACUUGUCACACGAACAUGAUACAUAUGUCUAAAGAAAGCCUGAAAUGUCUAAUUUUACAUGAUGUAAUUAAAAUCUGAAGAACUCAUUGUCUGUUUGUGUAAUCGACAUGUAAGUAAAGAGAGGUACAGUUUUUCUGGCUCGACCUCAUUAGCACUAAUGUGAUCCCACCUACCCACGUGCGCGCCAUUCAUAUGGAAAUUACCUGAUGCGGGCUAUGCAAACAAGAUCAACGCCCCCAAACAAUUCUUCAAGAAGCAGCAAGUUUUGACAGUUUCAUUCACUUAUCGAUGCGCUGGGAAGAUGACACGCUUUACAGGUGAGGAGCUCUACAGAUCCUCCUGGACAGCGAGGAAGAGUUCACGGUUUCUUCAGACGAAGAGCAGGACUCCGACGAUGAAUGUUUGUAUUUUGAAGAGCGACUUGAUCCAGCUGAGGAUAUAAUUUCUGAAGAGUAAGUUUUACCUACAUUUGUUGAAAUGUUGUGUGAUGUAAACUUUUAUAUACUGUAUACUGACUAUUUGCAAGCAGAUAUUCAUAAUGACUUUAUAUAAACGUCUCGUAACUUGUAUUUACAUAAAAAUUAUAGUUCUUACAUUAAACCGUAUGCUGAUUAGUGUAAUGUGAAUAUGUUAUAAAGCAAUAUCACUACUAUAACUAUAGUGUUCAUGCCGACUUAUCAAUAAGGCUUCUUUACGUGAUUAUUUGCUCGGGUGUAACAAUGUGCUGUAAAUGCGCCCGAAGAUAUGUCAUGCGUUAAACAGUAUGAUUGUAUGGUGUAAUGUAAAUAUACAAUAUGUCAUAAAACAAUAUCACUAUUUUGACUAGUGUUUAUGCCUCAACAAGUCUUGUUUACGCGACUAUCUGUUCGGGUGUAAAUGUAUCGAUGCAGUAUCGAUGUGCUGUAAAUGUGUCCGGAGAUAUGUAAUGUGUUAAUGUUUAGCCAUAAAUAUGUCCGGUAAUGGCCCGUUAACAAAGAUAUACAGCAUAUCUAUGUACCCAAUUAUCUUAUCUCAACUAUGCUUUACCGCCUUAGUAUUGCUUUAUAAGUUUGUUACUGUGGAGAAUACAUUAUAUUAAUUAUUAAAAACUUUUGUAGGAAUGUGGCAGCAUCACUCUCCUCUUCAGCGGGCAUUUGCAGAAAUGCGACGGACAUUCAUACAGGGAAUGUGUCUGUAACACCAACUUCGUCUGGUACUCGCACGAGGGCACGCAGAUACGCAACUGGGAACAAUAAAGAAUUUACCACUGACAGUGAUAAGGCACCUGUUGCAAAGAGAGUCAAGACCAACAUCCAGGCAAGCAGCAGCAGGUCCAUUCUGUCAUGGAAAACAGAGGCUGAUAUUGAUGUGGUUCCACACACUUUGCGUUUCUUUCCUGCACGGGAACCUGGACAUCAGCUGAGUCAUGCAGACGCACACACACCCGAGUUUCUUCAAAAUGUUUUUUCCGGAGGAUGCAGUUUCAAAUCUAAGCCAUAACACCAACGCUCAGGCUGCCAGGGUAACAGCAAAUGGUUGCAAGUAUAAAUGGAAAGAUGUCAGCGUCACUGAAAGCUAACGCUACAUUGGACUACUAUUUUAUAUGGCCAUGGUAAAGAUGAUCUCCAUCAGGCACUACUGGAGACAGGACGAUGUUUUCUUUUCCUGCCAGAGUAAUGUCAAGAGAGAGAUACCGCACUAUUUCAUGGAAUGUGCACAUGAGUCACCCAGAAGACGACAAACAUGUAAUGUUCCAUUGUGUGUUCAGUUAAAUAGGAACUGUUUUGAACAAUGGCACGACAACAUUUAACUCCAUUCUCAAAGAGUUACAGUGUGUGAUGGUUUACAAAUGUAUACCUUAAUUUUUAUAUUGUGAAGUAUUUUUAGAUGCACAUCAAACUGUACAUUCAUAGCUGACAUUUAGA